UGAAUACAGGGUAUUUUUCUACCAUUUCGAAGUUCGAAGCUUUUACCCAUUAAAGGGUGAAAAUUUUCUUGAAAGAUUCAGAUAAAUCAUUCAUGGCCCAAAAGCGAAAAUUGUGGAGGAAAAUAAAGGAAAGAGCAUUAACGAUACUGCCAAAUGAAGCGUUUGGUGUUGCACGAAAAUUUUCGGAUCGAAGACGAACUUAGGAGGCAACAAAUCUCCCAUUACAAGAUCUCCUGCUUUUUCCACGGAAAUGCCUGCAAUGGGACUACAUUGACCAGCCCUCAA